rnacentral:tRNA from 1 species
GCUAGGGUGGCAGAGCCCGGUUAUUGCAAAAGGCCUAAGCCCUUUAAACAGAGGUUCAAGUCCUCUCCCUAGCU